ACUUAAAUUGAAGAGUUUGAUCAUGGCUCAGAUUGAACGCUGGCGGCAGGCCUAACACAUGCAAGUCGAGCGGUAGCACAGAGAGCUUGCUCUCGGGUGACGAGCGGCGGACGGGUGAGUAAUGUCUGGGAAACUGCCUGAUGGAGGGGGAUAACUACUGGAAACGGUAGCUAAUACCGCAUAACGUCGCAAGACCAAAGUGG
rnacentral:rRNA from 1 species